AGGCGAACCGGGGGAACUGAAACAUCUAAGUACCCCGAGGAAAAGAAAUCAACCGAGAUUCCCCCAGUAGCGGCGAGCGAACGGGGAGCAGCCCAGAGCCUGAAUCAGUGUGUGUGUUAGUGGAAGCGUCUGGAAAGGCGCGCGAUACAGGGUGACAGCCCCGUACACAAAAAUGCACAUGCUGUGAGCUCGAUGAGUAGGGCGGGACACGUGGUAUCCUGUCUGAAUAUGGGGGGACCAUCCUCCAAGGCUAAAUACUCCUGACUGACCGAUAGUGAACCAGUACCGUGAGGGAAAGGCGAAAAGAACCCCGGCGAGGGGAGUGAAAAAGAACCUGAAACCGUGUACGUACAAGCAGUGGGAGCACGCUUAGGCGUGUGACUGCGUACCUUUUGUAUAAUGGGUCAGCGACUUAUAUUCUGUAGCAAGGUUAACCGAAUAGGGGAGCCGAAGGGAAACCGAGUCUUAACUGGGCGUUAAGUUGCAGGGUAUAGACCCGAAACCCGGUGAUCUAGCCAUGGGCAGGUUGAAGGUUGGGUAACACUAACUGGAGGACCGAACCGACUAAUGUUGAAAAAUUAGCGGAUGACUUGUGGCUGGGGGUGAAAGGCCAAUCAAACCGGGAGAUAGCUGGUUCUCCCCGAAAGCUAUUUAGGUAGCGCCUCGUGAAUUCAUCUCCGGGGGUAGAGCACUGUUUCGGCAAGGGGGUCAUCCCGACUUACCAACCCGAUGCAAACUGCGAAUACCGGAGAAUGUUAUCACGGGAGACACACGGCGGGUGCUAACGUCCGUCGUGAAGAGGGAAACAACCCAGACCGCCAGCUAAGGUCCCAAAGUCAUGGUUAAGUGGGAAACGAUGUGGGAAGGCCCAGACAGCCAGGAUGUUGGCUUAGAAGCAGCCAUCAUUUAAAGAAAGCGUAAUAGCUCACUGGUCGAGUCGGCCUGCGCGGAAGAUGUAACGGGGCUAAACCAUG
rnacentral:rRNA from 1 species